CUGACUUUGAAGAGCACAGGGCCAGCAUAGCUUAUCUAUAUCAUGGCUGUAAGACGUGGCUUUAAUCUUCACGCAGGACUGCAGGCUAUCAUCUCUGAGGGAGGGGAAGUGAGAGAGAGUACAUCUCAAACACUGUCAUCUUGCGCUCAAACGCCAAAACAUCCUCCAGCAUCUGCAGGGCAGUGCUUCCUUUUCCCUGGAGACUUUUGUUCAGCGUGUUAAGGUGACCUGUCAUAUCCAUUAUAAAGUGCAGCUUUUCCUGCCAAUCUGGAUGUUCCAGGUUGGGAUGGGUGAGGCUUCUGCCAGACACGCAGCAAACCGUUUCAGCACUUCUCCCCUGGACAGCCACCGGACUUUGUUCUGCAGCAGGAGAUCAGAAUAUGCGAUGUCGACUAUGGCUGUGUAUUAGCAAGAAUCUGGCAAUGCGAUACGUAUACCGAUACAGGGGUUUUGAUUCAAUAUAUUGUGAUAUAUUAGGAUACUGUAAUCAAGUCAAUAUAUUGCGAUUUUUAAAAUCUAUUUUCAGUCCAAUCUGAGUAAAAAAAGUUUACUUCAGGUGAAAAAUAAAGUUAUUAAAAAAUGUAAAGUGUGUUACACAUAAACAUGCAGACUGUAUAGUCACUGUAACAUCCAAAACAACAAAACACUUGCUGUGAAAUCUCACAAAAAAGGAAUUACAUCUGCCUGUAUCAAUGAAAAUAAAAGUGAGCAAGUGAACUCUUUCAGCCGAGCUGAGAGAUUCCAGCGCCCUUGUUUUCACCUCAUUGUACAACUUUGGCACAGUGAUGUUAAUGUUACUGGGAGGGUAUAGCAUAAAGAUGCUCCAUUUUGUGCACCAUAUUACGGAAGCCUUCGUUCUCUACAAAAGCUGAGAGGGCGAAUAUCUUUGCAAGUGAAGAAAAGUAUUGACUGAGUUAUUUUGGUUGCACGAGUUGAGGUGAUGGUAACUUCGGUGAGUUAAUUUGGUCCAGAGAGAGAUGAGACUGAUCGUCUCGUUUAGCGUUGGCCGUUUGCUGUGUGAGUGUUUUAUUUUGGCAUGGCACAUUUUGCAAACGGCAUGGCUCUGUAUGCCGGGGGAGCCAGUCUAAUGUUUUUUGAUGCAGCCAUGGUCAACCAUGGUUAGCAACAACAUCUCUGUUAGCGCCGAAGUGUUUUUUUUUGUGUUACUUCCGGUCCCAGUUCACGUUGUUGCGUUGUAGUGAAAUGGCUGCACACUGCCAUCUAACGGUCGGCGUUACAACACAAAAUGAACCUCUGCUUGCCAUGAAUCUUUGCACGAGAAGUAAUAAUAAAAAAUCAAUAUAGUGUUUUUGAGAAUCGAUACAGUAUCAAAAACAUGAUAUCACGAUAUUAUAGUGAAACAGCUGCAGCUGUCUGAUUGAUUUUAUUGUUUGUACAGACACCAUUACAGUCAUCAGGUUGACUGAAGAUAAAGUCCUUUUCCUCAAUAUGUUCUUAAGGUGGUAGUGGGAUCACUUUGAAACCAUGGUAAUAUGGUUGUUGAAGUUAAGUCUAAGGCGCAAUCAUCCACCAUUUCAUAUCACCCCUUGCCCCUACCCCUUGGUUUUGCAUGUUCACGUGUAGGGGUAGGGGUUUCUCACACCCCUACUGAACAGAAUUGUCGGGGGUUUAAUCCUUUUGCCUAUAUUUUGUUCACAAUCUGAAUUACGAGGUUCAUCACGUCCAUGUAUUCGGGGGGAAAUGUUUGAGCACACAGUGCUUCUUGGUGCAGGAUGCAGUGAAACAUCAGCAGCUUUAGAUCCAGUGACUUCUGAAGUAAAGUCACAAACCCCUUCUGUGCUCCUCUCAUACUAGGUGGCUUUUAAACAAUUCACCCCAGCAUCACAAAUGUCCUCCCCCCGUGUUUGGCCUUUUAUCAGUAUCAACUCAAUGAUUUUUUCCUGCCGACCAUCAGAGUUCACAUAUCUGCAUAACAGCGCUGUCUCCUCAAUAUCGUUAACAUCACUUGACUCAUCACAGGUGAUUGGGUAUGCUGGAGCUGAAUUAAUGUCCUCAAUUUGUUGACUGGUGAUGUUUGCUGCCAUCUUAAUGGUCCUGUCCUUGACGGUCUUUGCAGAGAGAGGCACAGCUCUAAUUCUCUGAACUCAAGAUUAGCCACCUAAAGGCGGAAGGUAUAGAGGCGGGGGUCUGUUGUCAUGUAUGAGUGGCAUAUAACUCCUGUUGUGAAUGGGGCAGUGCAUGAAGUUGAGCGAGAAAGAGAGAGUGGAGCAAAUCAAGUAAAAGUUUCAGUUGAUGUUCGAUAAUAAAUGCAGCAACAACUCGGUUCAGAAGUCUCUGUGUGUCUGUUCACCGCACUGUUGGGGGAAAAGA